rnacentral:rRNA from 1 species
UGGGGAAUUUUGCACAAUGGGGGAAACCCUGAUGCAGCGACGCCGCGUGAUUUAGAAGGCCUUCGGGUUGUAAAAAUCUUUUGUAUGGGAAGAAAAUGACAGUACCAUACGAAUAAGGACCGGCUAAUUACGUGCCAGCAGCAGCGGUAAUACGUAAGGUCCGAGCGUUGUCCGGAAUCAUUGGGCGUAAAGGGUACGUAGGCGGAUAAGCAAGUUAGAAGUGAAAUCCUAUAGCUCAACUAUAGUAAGCUUUUAAAACUGCUCAUCUUGAGGUAUGGAAGGGAAAGUGGAAUUCCUAGUGUAGCGGUGAAAUGCGCAGAUAUUAGGAGGAAUACCGGUGGCGAAGGCGACUUUCUGGCCAUAUACUGACGCUGAGGUACGAAAGCGUGGGUAGCAAACAGG